GAGUUUGAUCCUGGCUCAGGAUGAACGCUAGCGGCAGGCUUAAUACAUGCAAGUCGUGGGGCAGCGCAGGUAGCAAUACUGGGCGGCGACCGGCAAACGGGUGCGGAACACGUACACAACCUUCCGAGAAGUGGGGAAUAGCCCAGAGAAAUUUGGAUUAAUACCCCGUAACAUAACGAUGUGGCAUCACAUUGUUAUUAUAGCUUCGGCGCUUCUUGAUGGGUGUGCGGCUGAUUAGAUAGUUGGCGGGGUAACGGCCCACCAAGUCUGCGAUCAGUAGCUGAUGUGAGAGCAUGAUCAGCCACACGGGCACUGAGACACGGGCCCGACUCCUACGGGAGGCAGCAGUAAGGAAUAUUGGUCAAUGGACGCAAGUCUGAACCAGCCAUGCCGCGUGAAGGAUUAAGGUCCUCUGGAUUGUAAACUUCUUUUAUCUGGGACGAAAAAAGGCGAUUCUUCGUCACUUGACGGUACCAGAUGAAUAAGCACCCGGCUAACUCCGUGCCAAGCAGCCGCGGUAUUACGGAGGGUGCAAGCGUAAUCCGGAUCACUGGGUUAAAGGNUGCGUAGGCGGCCAGGUACGUUCAGUGUGAA
rnacentral:rRNA from 1 species